UACGGCUAUAUCGCUUUAAAACACCGGUUCUCGUACGAUCACAAAAGUUAAGCAACGUCGAGCCUGGUCAGUACCUGGAUGGGUGACCGCUUAGUAAUGUCAGGUGCUGUAAG